GCCUGGGUGGCACAGCGGUUGAGCGUCUGCCUUCGGCUCAGGGCGUGAUCCUGGCGUUGUGGGAUCGAGUCCCACAUCGGGCU
rnacentral:tRNA from 1 species